GACGAACGCUGGCGGCGCGCCUAACACAUGCAAGUCGAACGGAGUCAAGAGGAGCUUGCUUUUCUUGACUUAGUGGCGAACGGGUGAGUAACGCGUGAGUAACCUGCCCUGGAGUGGGGGACAACAGGUGGAAACGACUUCUAAUACCGCAUAAGCCCACGGAUCCGCAUGGAUCUGCGGGAAAAGGAUUUAUUCGCUUCAGGAUGGACUCGCGUCCAAUUAGCUAGUGGGUGAUGUAACGGCCCACCAAGGCGACGAUUGGUAGCCGGACUGAGAGGUUGACCGACAAGAUCGGAAAUGAGACACGGACCACUACGCUACGGAGCGGAGCGGUGGGGGAUAUUGCAGAAGGGGGCAAAACUCAACAACGCGACGCCGCGGGGAGGAAGAAGCUUUUCGGAUUGCAAACUCCUGUGGUAAGGGACGAUAAUGACGGUACCUAACAAGAAAGCACCGGCUAACUACGUG
rnacentral:rRNA from 1 species